AAAAGGAGGGUAAACAGUUUUCUGCACCUUUACGUUGGGGAGUUGUAAAGUCAGUAAGAUAACAAGAAACAACUGCGAGAAAUCAGUGACUGUAAUUGCUUGUAAAUAUUUCCACCAAAAUAAUGAGUAGUGUUUGAUGGGGUCAGUUUAAUCAACAGUUCAUUACCAAAUCAGUCGUUCUUUCAUUAUGUUGUAAGAAGUAUACAGUUAAAACUAGACCCAGAGCACGCUAACAUUAAUCUGGCUGUUAAGACUACUUUAUAAAAUGUUAUAUACAGUGUAUUUUCAAAUUCUUUAAGCGAUCAAAACCCACUUGAUAUAUAGAUUUUUUCAUCUGAAAUUGCGAAAAUUAUUUUCUCUCCUUUUCAGUUUUUCUACCAAGUAACUAAAACUUCGCAUUGGGCAUUUUUUCUAUUUUUGAGAUAUGUUUUCAAAGAAAAGUUAGAGUAGAAUGAAAAUGAGAAUCUUUGGAUACAAAUGAGAAAAAUCUAAUGUUAUAUGAAAAUUCUAUUCUUAAUCAAUUUGAAAUGUUCAUAUGUUACAGAAAACAGCAAACCAAUGCUUAAUGAGAAAUGAAACACUUAUGAAUCUUGGCUGGCCUGUGGCCUAGUGGUUAAGUUCAGCGUGCUCUGCUUUGGUGGCCCGGAUCCCAGUUAUGGACCUACACAACUCAUCAGCCAUGCUGUGGUGGUGACCCACAUACAAAACACAGGAGGAUUGGCAUGGAUGUUAGCUCAAGGCUAAUCUUCCUCAAGCAAAAUAAGCAAAUUGGCAACAGAUGUCAGCUCAGGCUUAAUCUUCCUCAGGAAAGUAAAAUUAUUUGCAUGAAGGGUUCUGUCUGCACUCAGUAAUUUCAAUGAUUCUGCCUUUCUGGUGGUGAUGUUAACUUUGGUCACUUGGUUUAGGUGGUGUCUGCUGCUUUCUCCACUGUAGAGUUACUAUUUUUCUCCUUGUAAUUAAUAAAUAUUAUAUGGAGAGAUGCCUUGAUGUGUUACAAAUAUCCUAUUUCUCAUCGUAAUUUCACCUGCUAAUUUUAGCCAGAAGGCAUUGAUGGUUCUUGCCUGAAACAAUUGGUGUUUACCUGAUGCUAAGUAUUUUCCUCAUUUGUUCUAUAGUUAUUAUUUGGAAUUCUUCGGUAAAAAAGAGCUAUCCUUUCCCCCCAUUUAUGUCACAUAGACUUAUGGAUAUUUAAGAAAAUUAUUAUCUUAAGCCGUAGGAAGUAUAUAUAGAGGUUGAGAGCGCAGACUCUGGAAUCAGACGACCUGGAUUUGAUUAUUCUGUGUGCCAGUUGCGGGACUUUGUCAAGCUACGUAACUGCUCUGUGCCUUAGUUUCCUCAUUUCUAAGUGGAGAAAAUGACCCCCACCUUAGUUUGGUGUGAGAAUUAGGGGAGAUAAUACAUGUAGUCUUUAGGCUAGCUUUAAUUACUCUUUCUUAGCAAAUAUUUUGUACUGUGCUUAGUUUUACUAUUUAUAAGUUUCCCCACCCACAAAUUGAAUAUAAAAAAUAUUUGUCAUGUGCUUGCUUCCCUGAGAAAUUGUUAAAAUUCACAAAAUGAAUUUAAAAGUGCUUUGUAGUGUUAAGGAGAUGUAUAAGUUCUUAUUUCUGAAAUUAUAUAUGUAUAUUGCUAAGAUCCGUUUGGUGAUCAUGAUUUUGUUCUUGGGCUGUUCUUUGUGUUAGAAAUGUAGAUGACUAUAAAAUGUGAUAGAAUUAUUUUUAACAUUUUAG
rnacentral:lncRNA from 1 species